CUGAGAAUAACAUGUUUUCCUUCCUGUAGGGAAAGACCCUGGUCGAACUCGGUGACCAGCCUAUUGCUGGUGCUCAGUGGAUAUUUAUUUAUUGAAUGAACGAACAUGUAUAAUCCCUAAGGUCAUAUGGUUCCCCAGGAAGCAUAGCCUUUAAUAGGGAAAUCAAUUUUUUAAUUGAUGCCUUUUUCUUUUCUUUGUUGUUUUUUUUUGAGACAGGGUCUCUGGUGUAGCCCAGGCUGGCCUCAAGCUUGGAGCAAUCCUCCUGCCUCAGCCUCCCGAGCGCUGGGAUGACAGGUGUGCCCCACCACGGUGGGCAAGGAUACCUUCACCGAGUCCCUUCCCGGACCCCGGCCCUCUUGUCUGGGGGUGGCGUCAGCCUCCCUCUCCUCACUGUCGGGAGCAGUGAUAUUGACUCCAGGGUGGAGGACUCAGUGCAGGGAGACCACUCAGGUCUGACUGUGGAUCACACUGAGUCAAGCUACUGCCCAAACUGGACCUCCCCAUCUGGGCAGUGCCCCUUCCCUCAGGAACACACCUGUGUGGGCUUUGUGGCAGGGUAGUUUUCCAGUGCCAGAGAAGACUGGAGGUGGAGAUGGAGAAAUGCUAUUUAUUAGCACUAAUGAAUUUCCACUUUAUCAUUUAGCGUUUUUUCAACUGGUGAAAUGAAUGAGACAGAUCUACACGUAUUGAUACAGAUUACUUGCCAAGAUAUAUCAUUGUGAAAUGUGUACAAUUGUUAGGGGAGCGUGUGGCCCAUGCCUGUAAUUCCAGUACUCUGGGAGGCUGAGGCAGGAGGAUCUCUGGUUCAAGUGCAGUGGGACCGGACCGGACUGGGCUGUGCUCUGGGGCGCCACCCUGGGUUUGCCCUCUGGGGCGGGGUGGAUGUGUGUGAUCGUUAGAUGUAAAGGAGCAUUUCUGGGGCUGCACAGAAUCUGCGUGGAAGGGCGCUGAGGCCACAAAGUGACUCAGACCAGAAGGUGACUCUGCAGUUCUUUUCUCUGCCCAAAAUGGGUCUCGCUAUGCAGUCCAGUCUGGCUUUGAUCCUCCUGCCUCAGCCUCCCAAGUGCUGGGAUGACAGGCAUGCAACACCACACCUGCCUCACAGCUCUGAGUUUUAUGAAUGGUGCCAGUUAGACAUUCUCGUACACACCUUCCGGUGCCCUGUGCAGUACCGGGGAUUGAACUCGGGACCUUGCACUUGUGAUGGAGUCGACAGAACCACCGAGCUAAAUCCCGGCUCAUUUAUUUUUAUUUAUUUAUUUACUUUUUAUGUUGAAUGUUUAUUGAAUUAAAUUACAGUUAUUUAAAAAUCUGUAACUGAUAUACAUUAGAUUUUUAUGUCUGUAUCAGGUCACCACAAAUCAGAUUUAUAUACAGCCUUCAACUGCAGAUAACACAAAGUUUCUAAGCGAUGCUAACAGAGACACCUUUGUGUUUUUUUUGCAUUUUUUGAGAUACCUUUUCCUUUACCAUAGCAAAUUAAAAAUUUUAAGUUUACAGAUGUAUAAAACACUUUAGCCAAAAAGUCUCUUUUUAAGAAAAAAGGGCAUUUUCUCAUUUUAGC
rnacentral:lncRNA from 1 species